rnacentral:rRNA from 1 species
AUGAACGCUGGCGGCGUGCCUAAUCCAUGCAAGUCGCGCGAACAGACGAGGAGCUUGCUCCUCUGACGUUAGCGGCGGACGGGUGAGUAACACGUGGAUAUCCUACCUAUAAGACUGGGAUAACUUCGGGAAACCGGAGCUAAUACCGGAUAAUAUAUUGAACCGCAUGGUUCAAUAGUGAAAGACGGUUUUGCUGUCACUUAUAGAUGGAUCCGCGCCGCAUUAGCUAGUUGGUAAGGUAACGGCUUACCAAGGCAACGAUGCGUAGCCGACCUGAGAGGGUGAUCGGCCACACUGGAACUGAGACACGGUCCAGACUCCUACGGGAGGCAGCAGUAGGGAAUCUUCCGCAAUGGGCGAAAGCUUGACGGAGCAACGCCGCGUGAGUGAUGAAGGUCUUCGGAUCGUAAAACUCUGUUAUUAGGGAAGAACAAAUGUGUAAGUAACUAUGCACGUCUUGACGGUACCUAAUCAGAAAGCCACGGCUAACUACGUG